rnacentral:rRNA from 1 species
UCGAGAAUCUUCCGCAAUGGACGAAAGUCUGACGGAGCGACGCCGCGUGGAGGACGAAGGCCCUUGGGUUGUAAACUCCUGUCACGGGUUAUGAAUGGCGUAUCGUUAAUAGCGAUGCGAUUGACGUAAGCUCGAGAGGAAGCACCGGCUAACUCUGUGCCAGCAGCCGCGGUAACACAGAGGGUGCAAACGUUGUUCGGAAUUACUGGGCAUAAAGCGCGCGUAGGCGGUCACGUAAGUGUGGAGUGAAAUCCCACGGCUCACCCGUGGAACUGCUUUGCAUACUGCGUGACUAGAGUACGGUAGGGGAGAGCGGAACUCCUGGUGGAGCGGUGAAAUGCGUAGAUAUCAGGAGGAACACCGGUGGCGAAGGCGGCUCUCUGGGCCGUAACUGACGCUGAGGCGCGAAAGCCAGGGUAGCGAACGGG